AUGGAGAAUAAUUGCAUCAGACCCUCCCAUUUCCAGGGGAAGGACGGGUGUUGCAGCGCAACCGAUGGAAGAACAUAAGAGGAAGAAAGCAGCUUAUUUACAUAUUCCUAAUCAGGUUAAGGUAUAAUUUUUUUUUUUUUUUUUUUAAUGGGAAAAGGAAAUGCCUUCAAGAAUUGAAAGGUCAUUUGAAAAACCUGCUUUCACUUCCUCCGGGAGCCACACCACAUGCUGACCGUGACCUCUGCUCACAUCUGCUGCAAACCCAGCGGGUUCAAAAGGAAAGGAGGCCAACGGGUGUGAUCCAGCCCGGAGCCUGGAAGUUUCAAGAGAAGUUAAAUGUCAUCCGUGUUUAAAAAGUCAGAAACAUAUCGUCCCUCUGUGUUUGGCAUCUGCUAUUUACGCAGUAGGUUCACUGCAAAUCUGAGCGCAGGGAGAGGAUUUAGAGUCUAGAUGGCAACACCAGCGGGGUUGGGGGGGCUGAGCUGGGGGAUGUCUUAGCAGUUGUUUGGCUUUGGCUCAGUGAGACCACAGAGCAUCACGGCCCACCUGCUGCUUCCUGACCAGCAAGACCUCGUCGACUCACAGCCCCCCUGGCUUCAGGUGCCCUGGGGGCCGGCAGGUGAGGGGAAGCUGUGGUGGUCUGUGCACGUCGUUGGAAAAAAGAAUUUUUUGGAUUCAGAGCAAGGUACCAGCCCCAAAUUUAUCAGUUUCCACGGAAGGGACAGUUUGGGCCGAGGGGUCAGCUCUCACAUACCCCGGGGAACGUGCAGAAUCUGCUGUCCAGCCUUCCAGGGAGCUCAAGCGAGGGAGCCACACUCUUCACAGAGCAUCUCAGCUGCCCAGGAGGAAGGUGGACAUUUCAGAGGCCAGGGAGGCCUGAACUUCCUGCUCUUGGCCCUAAGCUCCUGGACUCCUCACCCACUUCUCCGGGGCCAAAGCCCCCAAGGCCUCAGCCCCCAGGGCAUCGGAGAAGGAAAGAAAGCAGACGGCAGAAAGGGUGUCCAGCCUCAUCCCGUGAUCCCUGCUCCGUGAAGCUGGGGUGAGGCCCCAGGGUGAGCCUGGGAAGUAGGGGAGAG
rnacentral:lncRNA from 1 species